UUCGCAAUGCCCGAAAGGGUGACGAUGCGACGCCGCGUGAGCGAAGAAGGCCCUAGGGUUGUAAAGCUCUGUCAGGGGUUAAGAAAUGUAGAUAGGUUAAUACCCUGUUUAUUUGACAAAAGCCCCAAAGGAAGCCACGGCUAACUCUGUGCCAGCAGCCGCGGCAAUACAGAGGUGGCAAGCGUUGUUCGGUAUUAUUGGGCGUAAAGAGCACGUAGGUGGUUUUGUAAGUCAGAUGUGAAAGCCUUCUGUUCAAAGGAAGAACGGCAUCUGAAACUGCAGAUCUUGAGUGUAGGAGGGGAGAGUGGAACUUCUGGUGGAGCGGUGAAAUGCGUAGAUAUCAGAAGGAACGUCGGCGGCGAAAGCGACUCUCUGGCCUAUUACUGACACUGAGUGUGCGAAAGUUAGGGGAGCAAACGGGAUUAGAUACCCCGGUAGUCCUAACUGUAAACGAUGGGCACUAAGUAGAGGGGUUUU
rnacentral:rRNA from 1 species